CCUACGGGGCGCAGCAGUGAGGAAUAUUGGUCAAUGGGAGAGAUCCUGAACCAGCCAAGCCGCGUGAGGGAAGACGGCCCUGUGGAUUGUAAACCUCUUUUGUCAGGGAACAAAGCCGGGGACGUGUCCCGGGCUGCGUGUAUCCGAAGAAAAAGCAUCGGCUAACUCCGUGCCAGCAGCCGCGGUAAUACGGAGGAUGCGAGCGUUAUCCGGAUUUAUUGGGUUUAAAGGGUGCGUAGGCGGUCCGUUAAGUCAGCGGUAAAAUCGCGGGGCUCAACCCCGUCCCGCCGUUGAAACUGGCAGAC
rnacentral:rRNA from 1 species